CAUGAUUUUUGACCUUCAGCUUCAGGCCCCAAAAUCCCAUUUACUAUGGAAGUAGCCACCAAAACGCCCACAACUUCCGCUCCCGCCACCGCGCCCGCUUGUGCCAGCCCUCCGAAGCUCACUGCCUCUUCUAUUUCUCUCUCAGCCGUUUUGAUCCCUUUUUCCGCCGUUUCAAUCUCUCUCUCUACUGUUGCUAUUCCUUUCUCCGCCGUUUCAAGUCCCUUCUCUGCUGCCUCGAAUCCUUCCUUCACAAGCUCCUCUGCCUUCUCCUCCGCUUUCUUCAGCUUCUUCUUUAGUCCGAACAGUGGAAUAUCCUCCGCAAGCGACGCCAAUUCUCUGACCGUCAAUACCGGUGCUGCCGUUAGAAGGAAGAGCAACUGCCUCCUGCUGGCGAAAGAUGCCGGUAGAGAUUUCGGACCGUGCGCCUUGCAAGAUGGGGGGUGCGCAUUGCGCGCACGGUGAAGAGAGAGAGCUUGGAGAAUAGGUGGAGAGAUUGUGGAAGCCAUUG
rnacentral:misc_RNA from 1 species